rnacentral:tRNA from 1 species
GUCUUCGUAGUGUAGUGGUCAACACGCUCGACGUGUAUUCGAGAGGCCCGCGGUUCGAGUCCCGGCGAAGGGA